rnacentral:rRNA from 1 species
GAUUUGUUUGAUCCUUGGCUCAGGGAUGAACGCUAGCGGCAGGCUUAAUACAUGCAAAGUCGAGGGGCAGCAGCUUUAUAGCAAUAUAGAGGCUGGCGACCGGCAAACGGGUGCGGAACACGUACACAACCUUCCUUUAAGAGGGGGAUAGCCCAUAGAAAUGUGGAUUAAUACCCCGUAACAUAUCGGUGUGGCAUCACACUGUUAUUAUAGUUUCGACGCUUGAAGAUGGGUGUGCGGCUGAUUAGGUAGUUGGCGGGGUAAAGGCCCACCAAGCCUUCGAUCAGUAGCUGAUGUGAGAGCAUGAUCAGCCACACGGGCACUGAGACACGGGCCCGACUCCUACGGGAGGCAGCAGUAAGGAAUAUUGGUCAAUGGACGCAAGUCUGAACCAGCCAUGCCGCGUGAAGGAUGAAGGUCCUCUGGAUUGUAAACUUCUUUUAUAGGGGGCGAAAAAAGGGAAUUCUUUCUCACUUGACAGUACCCUAUGAAUAAGCACCGGCUAACUCCGUGCCAGCAGCCGCGGUAAUACGGAGGGUGCAAGCGUUAUCCGGAUUCACUGGGUUUAAAGGGUGCGUAGGCGGAUAGGUAAGUCAGGGGUGAAAUCCUGGAGCUUAACUCCAGAACUGCCUUUGAUACUAUCUAUCUUGAAUAUGGUGGAGGUAAGCGGAAUAUGUCAUGUAGCGGUGAAAUGCAUAGAUAUGACAUAGAACACCUAUUGCGAAGGCAGCUUACUACGCCUAUAUUGACGCUGAGGCACGAAAGCGUGGGGAUCAAACAGGAUUAGAUACCCUGGUAGUCCACGCCCUAAACGAUGAUUACUCGACGUAUGCGAUACACAGUAUGCGUCUGAGCGAAAGCAUAAGUAUCCAC